UACAGAGGCCCCAAGCGUUACUGAGAAUCACUGGGUUUAAAGGGUGCGUAGGUGGUCCGUUAAGUUCGUUGUGAAAUCCCUGGGCUCAACCCAGGAAAUGCUUCGAAUACUGGCGGACUUGAGGCUAGUAGAGGUCACUGGAACUGACGGUGGAGCGGUGAAAUGCGUAGAUAUCGUCAGGAACGCCAAUGGUGAAGACAGGUGACUGGGCUAGUUCUGACACUGAGGCACGAAAGCGUGGGGAGCGAACGGG
rnacentral:rRNA from 1 species